GAGCGGGGCUCGGCAGCAACGAAAGCUGCUAACUUUCGUGACCCGGGUUAAACCCCUGGGCCCACUCG
rnacentral:tRNA from 1 species